rnacentral:rRNA from 1 species
UAGUCCACGCCGUAAACGAUGGACACUAGUUGUUGGGUUUAUACUCAGUGACUAAGCGAAAGUGAUAAGUGUCCCACCUGGGGAGUACGAUCGCAAGAUUGAAACUCAAAGGAAUUGACGGGGGCCCGCACAAGCGGUGGAGCAUGUGGUUUAAUUCGAUGAUACGCGAGGAACCUUACCAGGGCUUAAAUGUAGAGUGCAUGAUCUAGAAAUAGACUUUCUUCGGACUCUCUACAAGGUGCUGCAUGGUUGUCGUCAGCUCGUGCCGUGAGGUGUCAGGUUAAGUCCUAUAACGAGCGCAACCCUCGCCGUUAGUUGCCAGCACUUCGGGUGGGAACUCUAACGGGACUGCCUGUGAAAGCAGGAGGAAGGCGAGGAUGACGUCUAGUCAGCAUGGUCCUUACGAUCUGGGGCUACACACGUGCUACAAUGGCAGGUACAGAGCGCAGCCACUUCGCGAG